rnacentral:lncRNA from 1 species
GCUAUUUUUAACUUACAAGUGAAAGUGUUGCAAGACAGAGAGACAAAGUGAAAGAGAGAGGAGGAGGGAGGGACACAGAGUGUCUUUUGGAUUCCUCUUUGCCAACUCCACAUUCCAGAGCGUUUCACCUGUGGCGAGUCUUGCCAUGACAACACACAACCAGUUGAGGUAGAAGAUGGCAGAGAGAGUGACUUGGUGGAGAGCGUUUAUGGGGAGCAGUAAGACGAUUAGUAGUGGUACCAAGGACAUCACCCCAGCUACCCAGAUCCCAGACACAGUGAAGGACCCUCUGACGCCCCGCACACAGGGAAUCCAAGCUACACCACACU